rnacentral:tRNA from 1 species
GGUCCGGUAGUUUAGCUGGUUAGAAAGCCUGUCAUCUCGCCCAAGGCGAGACGGGUUCGAGUCCCGUCCGGACUC